AUUGAACGCUGGCGGCAGGCCUAACACAUGCAAGUCGAGCGGCUGCGCGGACUUUGCCCUUGGGGUGAGUGGCGAACGGGUGAGUAAUGCAUAGGAAUCUGCCUGGUAGUGGGGGAUAACGUCGGGAAACGGGCGCUAAUACCGCAUACGACCUGAGGGUGAAAGUGGGGGAUCUUCAGACCUCACGCUAUCAGAUCAGCCUAGGUCGGAUUAGCUAGUUGGUGGGGUAAAGGCCUACCAAGGCGACGAUCCGUAGCUGGUCUGAGAGGACGACCAGCCACACUGGGACUGAGACACGGCCCAGACUCCUACGGGAGGCAGCAGUGGGGAAUUUUGGACAAUGGGGGCAACCCUGAUCCAGCCAUGCCGCGUGUGUGAAGAAGGUCUUCGGGUUGUAAAGCACUUUUGGUUGGGAAGAAGUCCAGUAAGCUAAUGCCUCGGGGUGUUGACGGUACCAGCAGAAUAAGCACCGGCUAACUACGUG
rnacentral:rRNA from 1 species